AUGUGUGUGCUUUUUUUUUUCUUGGUGCUGACCUAUAAAGAGUAUUAAAUAUUCAUGGGAGAAGCAAACCAAACAUAUGUGACUGAAUUUGUCUUCCUGGGCCUUUCACAGGACCCACACACACAAGUCCUGCUCUUCUUCCUUUUUCUGAUCAUCUACCUGCUGACUGUGCUGGGAAACCUGCUUAUUGUUGUGCUCAUUCACAUAGAUUCCAGGCUCCACACACCCAUGUACUUUUUCCUUAGAAACUUGUCCUUUGCUGAUCUCUGUUUCUCUACUACUACAGUUCCCCAGGUGCUAGUCCACUUCCUGGUCAAAAGGAAAACCAUUUCCUUUGCUGGAUGCUCAACACAGAUAGUUGUUCUACUUCUGGUUGGGUGUACUGAGUGUGCUCUGCUGGCAGUGAUGUCCUAUGACCGGUAUGUAGCUGUCUGCAAGCCCCUGCGCUACACCACCAUCAUGACACAUUGGGUAUGUGCCCAGCUGGCCAUAGGGUCCUGGGCCAGUGGAGCAUUCGUGUCUCUGGUGGACACCACAUUCACGUUGUGUCUGCCCUACCGAGGCAACAAUAUCAUUAACCAUUUUUUUUGUGAACCUCCUGCCCUCCUGAAGCUGGCUUCUGCAGACACCUACAGGACAGAAAUGGCCAUCUUUGCAAUGGGUGUGGCCAUCCUCCUAGCUCCUGUCUCCCUGAUCCUGGUCUCCUACUGGAAUAUCAUCUCCACUGUGAUCCAGAUGCAAUCUGGGGAGGGACGGCUCAAGGCUUUCUCUACCUGUGGCUCCCAUCUCACUGUUGUUGUCCUCUUCUAUGGCUCAGCAAUAUUUGCCUACAUGAGACCCAACUCCAAGAUAAUGAAUGAAAGAGAUAAAGUGAUUUCUGUUUUCUACUCAGCAGUCACACCCAUGCUGAACCCCAUCAUUUAUAGUCUGAGGAACAAGGAUGUCAAAGGGGCUCUCAGGAGGGUGACUGCAAAAUAG